UGUAAAUGACUUGUUAAAUAAAUAAAAAGAUUUUAGUUAUUAAGAAAAAUAAUUUAAGAUAUAUAAUUUUUAGUAAUUUUUAAUAAAAUUAGUUUAGGGACUAUAGUUUAGAGUACUGUAAGGGAAAGUUGAAUGAUUUUAAAUAGUAAACUUAAAAUCUUGUACCUUGUGUAUUAGGGAGAAUUUAUAUAAAUUAAGUAAGGUUAAAUAUCUCGAAAUAAAAUAUAGCUAAUUUUAUAAAAAAUUUUUUGUAGAAAAUAAAUUUUUAAUAUAAAAUUAAAGGUGAAAUGUUAAUCGAGUUUUAUGAUAUCUAGUUUUUUAAAAAUAAAUUUAAUUUGGUCUUUAUAAAAACGAAUAUAAAGUCUAAAUGUAGGAGGGAUUAGCUUCUUAUAAAUUAAAAUGUUAAAGAGUUUAAAGUUAAUUAAACAUAUAGUAAAUUAAGCUUAAGAAUAGUUAUAUUAGUAAAGUGUUUUAAUUAAAUUAUUAUUUUAUAUUAUAUAAGUAAACUUUUUGUAGAUAUUAAAAAUUUAACUAAAAUUAAAUUAGUUUAGUUAUAAUGAUUCUAUUAGUAAAAAAUUUUGUUGUUUAAAUAUAAAUAUUAAAAUAAAAUAAAUAAUUUAAUUUGAGAAUUAAAAUAAUAUAAAAGAAUUCGGCAAAUAUAAUUUCUUUGCCUGUUUAUCAAAAACAUGUCUGUUUGGAGAUAUAAAAAGUUUAACCUGCCCACUGAUAAAAUAUUAAAUGGCCGCGGUAUUUUGACCGUGCAAAGGUAGCAUAGUCGUUAGUUUUUUAAUUGGAAUCUUGUAUGAAUGGUUGGACAAAAGAAAAACUGUUUCUAUAUUAAUUAUUGAAUUUAAUUUUUAGGUGAAAAAGCUUAAAUGAAUUAAAGGGACGAUAAGACCCUGUAAAACUUAAUAUUAAAUUUUUAUUUAGUUAAAUUUUUUGUUUAUAAAAACUUUAUAAUCAAUAUUUAUUUUAUUGGGGUGAUAAAGGUAAAAUGGUUAGUAUCUGCUUAAUUUUAAAUACAUUUAUAGUUGAUUAAGGUUUUAAAUGAUCCUAGUUGAAGAUUGAAAGUUUAAGUUACUUCAGGGAUAACAGCGUUAUUUUUUUUGAGAGUACUUAUCGAAAAAAAAGUUUGCGACCUCGAUGUUGAAUUAAAAUAUCUUUAUAAUUGCAGCAGUUAUAAUAGUAGGUCUGUUCGACCUUUAAAAUUUUACAUGAUUUGAGUUCAAACCGGCGUGAGCCAGGUUGGUUUCUAUCUUUUAACAAAAUAAAAAUUAUUUUAGUACGAAAGGAUUAAAUAAUUAAAAUUAUUUUAAAUUUGAUUACUGUUUUAACAAAUUAUUAUUGUGCGGGGUUUAUAUGUCCCU
rnacentral:rRNA from 1 species